AGAAUUAAAACAGAAUUUGGAUCGUUGCCUGUGCACGAUUGGGGAGCAGGAUGGUGUCUAAGUGGGGGGACCAAUUGAGGUCCUGGGAGAUUGUGGACCCUAAGAACCUGAAUACUGUAAGUCAAUGUUAGACACUGUGUUGUUGUGGAUGGUGGGGGGAGGGGGGGCAGGCGGUUCUUUCUGAAGUCCACGGUCAUUUCCACAGUCUUGAGCGUGUUGAGCUCCAGCUGGUUCUGACUGCACCACUGGACCAGCUGCUCCACCUCCUGUCUGUAUGCAGAUCCAUCCUGGAUGAGCCCAAUGACGGUCAUGUCAUCUGCAUACUUCAGGAGCUUCACAGACAGAUGCUGCUUCUUUUUCGGUUUUGGUAAUUUGUUUUACUUUUUUCACGAUGCUUUUAAAUCUGGCUCCCCGUCUGUGUACCUGUAUGAGAACACUCGCUGUCUUAGGAGCGUCUGGCCCCCUUACGUCAAUCCUCGUACAUGAUUGGCCGAAUGGUGCGCUCACAAAAGUAGUCUCCCGUUUGUGUUUAUGGGUUUUCAGCAGAGCUGACCAAUGGCGGCUGAAGAUUCGUCUCUCCUCAGCGGGAGUUGGAUCAUUUCGUUCGCUACAAAGCAUCGGCUCUUAGAGCUGGCUCGUUCGCAAACAACACAUCACUAUUGGAAAUACACACUUUGAGACAGGCAGUGUGGACGAGCUACAGGCCUACCUGGCAUGAAAACUUACAGACACCUUACUGAGACAUUCAAGUAAAAGAGUCUUUAGCAUGAAAAGCAUUAAAAGAAAUCUUCUGGUGUGUGUGAAUCACACCACACAGGAAAAAAACAAACCUUGCAAAAUAUAUGUAAACCUUUGAAAUCUUGUUUUGCCUACAAUGCUGCUGCAUGGCCUCUAAAGGGAACAAACGUUAAUAUUGAGGAGCAGGUUUGCUUUACAACUUUUAUUUUUAAACAUUUCACAAUUCUUUUGUUGCUUGUCUUUCAAAACAUCCUGCAGCAUGACAAACAUUAGCCCUCUCUAAUUCACUGACUGUUGUGUUUUUAAACUGUUAAAAAAACAAAAGCUGUGCCAAGGUUACACCGCUUGGUCACACUUUGGAUGCUUUCUUAGGCUCUUACAAACUGGCGUGAUGCAAAUUUCAAACAUGUCUGACAGUGCUGGAAAUGGUUUCAAAAACGUUAGCAGUAACAGAUCGUGCCUGUGGUUGAGGGUUUCACUCACAGUAAACAAGAGGGGCUUCUGCAUAGAACUUUGGUUCAAACCCCAUACACAAAGAGUACAUGACCAAAAAACAGUUCAGCUAACUCAUUCCAAAUUAUUUUUGAAUGAUACAGUAAUAUGAAAUGACGUUAUAAGACAUGUAUUUUCAAUACAAUUUUUUUUUACUUUUGUGUCUCUUGAUGCUGUUCAUGACUCCAGCUUUAUUUCUUCACUUUUCUGUAUUUGCAGACAUACACAUGCAGCUGAUUAACAUUCAUUAUUUACUAAAAACCUGCAGGUCAAAGUGGACUUUGAGGAAUAUAUACUUUUUUUCUUAGACUUGUUUUGCAUCGCAGAUGACAUGUAUUUCUUCUGAAACUCAGAAGGUUAAUGUCUGUGUUACAGUAAGUAUGUUUUGAAGUAAAAAUGAGUAAAAUAAAGUCUGCGUUUUAGCGAACCAUCUCUGCAA